GAUGUCACAUAGUCUAUUUCAAUUUCCUUCUUUCCAAAAUCUUACUUUAGGUCACUUUUCCCCUUUCAUCUCUCCUCUUUCAGCGUGCCCCUUUCUUCCUCUUAACUUUAUUCUCUUUCUGAUCUCCCCUUUCUUUCGUCUUGUCUUUCUUAUCUUUCUACUUUACUUUUUCUUCUCUUUAUCUUCUCUCUUCUGCUUUUCUGUCGGAUUUGAAAUGGUUGAUGUGUAACUGAAAACAUCAUAACCAGCGUGCGAGGAACCAGAAGAAGAACAUGGAUUAUGAGUGAUAUGAUGGAGAUACAUAUGAUUUGGCAAGUGAUACAAACGUAAAAGAAAACAAGAAUCAACCAUAUUUGAGUUCAAGCGUUAAAUGUGUUUACAGAUUUUUGUUUCGAUUUCAAGUGAACAAAAAGAUGGAGAUCUACUUUUGGGUUGUGGAUUCGAUUUCAAGCGAAGAAGAUGGAGUUAUGCUUGUGGAUUGUGGUUUCAUUUCAAGCGAAGAAGAAGAAAAUUCAUAUAUGAGUUGUUGAUGGGGUAAGAAGUUCAACCUUUUCACUUAAUAUUCUUUAUAUAUCCCCUCUUAGUUGAAGCAUUUAAUUUUGAAUGUUCUGAAUGUUCUUACAGCUUGUACGAUAUACAAAUGUUCUUCUAUUUUUCUUACAGAGGUACUUACAUUCAAAUGUGUGAACAUAUUUUUUAGGUUAAUCUUUUUCUUUUGGAGUUUAUGAAAACAUUUUUUAAAAAUUUGUGUUUGUUUUAUAUGAUAAUAAAAAAACAGACUUUUUAAUCCGAAUUAUUUUAGGUUAAAAAAAGGUGUAUUUGGAGGUGUUAUAUAUAAUAGUAAUAAGUUAUAACAAAUGAUUUAAAGAGUAAAAAUUUAUGUGUGAUUAUUAAGCUCUGAAUUGAGAGUGGAAGAGUCUGUGUGUGUGCGCGUUGGGGUUCUCUACUUCCUUCCUAUGGAUCUUCAUGCCAACUCUCUCAAUUCCGGGAUGAAGAAAGAAAAAUAAGACGAACAACAGGUUUAGCAUAUGGUGUCUGUUUGGUUCAACACAAUAGAUUUUGUUGAAGCAGACUCGUUUUUAGCCUUUUUACAGCGUGUAAAAGUUGGCUGCAUGGUAUUGUUAAUGAUCAUGUUUUUUGUCCGUUUUGGUUAGCUUUCUGUUGGAGUGUUUGGUUGUUUAGAAAUGAGGUAGUUUUUAAAUAUAGGAAGAGAAAUAUGGAGGAUAUUUUUGUUCUAAUCAAAAUGUUGGCUUGGGAUUUGGCAGAUAUUACCUUUAUACACUGAAAAUCAAUGUUAGUUUCUUGAAUUGUUGUUGUUUUGUUA